AAAAAAAAACAAAAAAAAAAAAAACCAGAACAACAAAUACCAUAUUCAUGGUGGUACAGACAAAGACUAAGCUAUUGGCAUAGACAAGGUCCAAUUGAGGAAGCACACUCUGUCACUGGUGAUGAGGAAUCCAGAGUUGGUCAUUCCCCUAAAGCUCAGUCAGGAGCAGUCACCUGCAGGGAAGGCUACCAGCAGAAGCCAGCAGCACUGUGACCUUAUGGAAAGUGGACAGUGUUCACAGGCACAUUAGGUAAAUACUGCUUCAGUGACCCAAAGAAAAAUGCAAAAUCACAGAAGAUUGUAGCAAGAGUGACUUAUGACUGAAUCUCAGAGAACUGAACUGUAGGCUUAACUAUCCCCUGCCUGAGCUCAGAGAAAGAACCCA
rnacentral:lncRNA from 10 species